AAUGGGCACUUACUAUACGACAAGCACUGUGCGAACUGGGCGUACAAUGACUCUGAGGCCUGGCUCUUUCUCUCCAGGCACAGGCAGACCAAUGUGGGAGACAGAUAAGGACGCGUUGCAGAGUGGUGUGAGAACUGCCAUAAGGAAGCGCCCAAGGCUGUGUGAUGUGGGCACAGAGGUGUAUGUUUGAAAAGAAAAAUCCUGGGACUUACCCACCAAGUUUGCUAGGACUGUGAACAAGGAGUUGAAUGGUGUUAGUGAACUCGGUGAGGAAGCCAGAAGCUGCUUCCAGCUGCUCGUCACCAAGCACAGUUGCUUGAAACAUGGGACUUGAAAAUAUGCUGCUAAGACUGAAGUCAAAGAGUACUGCCUAACUGCUCAUCAAGCCACACUGAGGCGGCGUCCCACAUGCCACAACUAGAAGGACCCACAACUAAGAAUGUACAACUAUAUACCGGGGGGCUUU
rnacentral:lncRNA from 1 species